GGAGUGAAAGAGAACCUGAAACCGUAUGUCUACAAGCAGUCGGAGCGAAAGCGACGGCGUGCCUAUUGAAGAAUGAACCAACGAGUUACGUGCACUAGCGAGGUUAAGUGGAAGACACGGAGCCGAAGCGAAAGCGAGUCUUAAGAGGGCGGAUAGUUAGUGUACGUAGACCCGAAACCGCAGUGAUCUACCCAUGUCCAGGUUGAAGCGCAGGUAAAAUUGCGUGGAGGACCGAACCUGUGAGCGUUGAAAAGCUUUAGGAUGAGAUGUGGGUAGAGGUGAAAUUCCAAUCGAACGCGGAGAUAGCUGGUUCUCCCCGAAAUAGCUUUAGGGCUAGCCUCAAGUAGUAAGUAUAGGCGGUAGAGCACUGAUCGGGCUAGGGGCCAUAAAGGUUACCGAACCCUGUCAAACUCCGAAUGGUUAUACUGUAGAGCUUGGGAGUCAGACUACGAGUGAUAAGAUCCGUGGUCAAAAGGGAAACAGCCCAGACCACCAGCUAAGGUCCCCAAUGUCGUACUAAGUGGAAAAGGAUGUGGGGUCUCUAAAACAACCAGGAUGUUGGCUUAGAAGCAGCCACCAUUUAAAGAGUGCGUAAUAGCUCACUGGUCGAGAGACCCUGCGCCGAAGAUUACCGGGGCUAAAGUACGAAACCGAAGCUGUGGCUACGACGUAAGUCGUGGGGUAGGGGAGCGUUCUGUGAGGGCUGAAGUCGUUCUGUAAGGGACGGUGGACUUCACAGAAGUGAGAAUGUUGGUAUGAGUAGCGAAAAGAAUGGUGAGAAUCCAUUCCACCGAAAGCAUAAGGAUUCCUGGGCAACGAUCGUCGUCCCAGGGUAAGUCGGGACCUAAUCCGAGGCAUGGAGCGUAGGAGAUGGACAACUGGCAGAUAUUCCAGUACCGGUAAUGAUUGUUUGAGCGAUGGAGUGACACAGGAGGGCAGGCAGGCAGGAGAUUGGUUGUUCCUGUACAAGCGUGUAGGAUGGGACGUAGGCAAAUCCGCGUCCUGUGAGUCUGAGGCGUGAUGUGGAGGUUCCGGAAACGGAACUGAAGCUGCUGACCCCACACUGUCGAGAAAAGCUUCUAGUUAGAGAAUUACCGCCCGUACCGUAAACCGACACAGGUAUGCGGGGAGAGAAUCCUAAGGUGCGCGGGAGAACCCUCGUUAAGGAACUCGGCAAAAUGUACCCGUAACUUCGGGAUAAGGGUAGCCGCUGUUGUGAAGUCUGCACAGACGGAGCAUGAGGCGGUCGCAGAGAAGAGGCCCAAGCGACUGUUUACCACAAACACAGGUGCCUGCUAAAGAGAAAUCUGACGUAUAGGUGCUGACACCUGCCCAGUGCCGGAAGGUUAAGGAAGGAUGUCCGGAGCAAUCCAAAGCAUUCGACCGAAGCCCCGGUGAACGGCGGCCGUAACUAUAACGGUCCUAAGGUAGCGAAAUUCCUUGUCGGGUAAGUUCCGACCCGCACGAAAGGUGUAACGAUUUGGGCACUGUCUCAACGAGGGACCCGGUGAAAUUGAAGUACCUGUGAAGAUGCAGGUUACCCGCGACUGGACAGAAAGACCCCAUGGAGCUUUACUGUAACCUGACAUUGGGUUCUGAUACAUCACGUACAGGAUAGGUGGGAGGCAUGGAAGCGAGGACGCUAGUCUUCGUGGAGCCGCCGUUGGGAUACCACCCUUGAUGUAUCGGAAUUCUAACCGUAGGAGUAACGAAACUCGGGACAGUGUCAGGCGGGCAGUUUGACUGGGGCGGUCGCCUCCCAAAGAGUAACGGAGGCGCCCAAAGGUUCCCUCAGCGCGGCCGGAAAUCGCGCGAAGAGUGUAAAGGCAGAAGGGAGCUUGACUGAGAGCCAAACACGGCGAUCAGGUACGAAAGUAGGGCUUAGUGAUCCGGUGGCAUCCAAGUGGAAGGGCCAUCGCUCAACGGAUAAAAGCUACCCUGGGGAUAACAGGCUAAUCUCUCCCAAGAGUCCAUAUCGACGGGGAGGUUUGGCACCUCGAUGUCGGCUCAUCACAUCCUGGGGCUGAAGUCGGUCCCAAGGGUUGGGCUGUUCGCCCAUUAAAGUGGUACGUGAGCUGGGUUCAGAACGUCGUGAGACAGUUCGGUCCCUAUCCAUCGCGGGCGCAAGAGAUUUGAAGGGGGCUGCUCCUAGUACGAGAGGACCGGAGUGGACGAACCAAUGGUGUACCAAUUAUCUCGCCAGAGGUAUAGUUGGGUAGCUACGUUCGGAAAGGAUAAACGCUGAAAGCAUCUAAGCGUGAAACCAGCCUUAAGAUGAGAUCUCUCAUAGAGUAAUCUAGUAAGACACCUUGG
rnacentral:rRNA from 1 species